CAAUAGCGUAUAUUAAAGUUGUUGCAGUUAAAAAGCUCGUAGUUGAAUUUCUGGCGGGCGCGCCGGUCUUCCAAGUGUUGUACUGGGCGCAGUCCGCCAUCCUUGUGGAGAGGGCUCGCAUUGAGUUGCGUGUCGGAUCUGCAUCAUUUACUGUGAAAAAAUUAGAGUGUUUAAAGCAGGCUGUCGCUUGAAUACAUUAGCAUGGAAUAAUAAGAUAGGACUUCGGUCUAUUUUGUUGGUUGCGAACCGAGGUAAUGAUUAAUAGGGAUAGUUGGGGGUAUUCAUAUUUAAUUGUCAGAGGUGAAAUUCUUGGAUUUAUGAAAGAUGAGCAACUGCGAAAGCAUUUACCAAGGAUGUUUUCAUUAA
rnacentral:rRNA from 1 species